AAAUGCCCAAAUUUGAAAGUGGAAACCCUAUUCUACCUUGACUCUCGACUCCGACGUGACAAUUCUCAGAGUUCACUCACUUGCAAACGCACUCCUUCACCAAUUACGGACGUACAUCGCCUCACUGCCGCUUGUGGUAAAUUUUUUGCAUUCAUCUUCUUAAAUCUGUUUUUAUGUUUGUGUUUUUUUUUAUUUUUAUUUUGUGAAUGUGAAAUUCCUCUCUUUUUUUUUUUUUUUUUUUUUUACUAUUAUGUAAUUCAGCUUCGAUUUUCUUAAAUUUGUGUUGCAUUCAUCUUCUUAAAAUUUUUUAUAGUGUUUUACAGCUUAAGGAAAAAAAAAAUAAUAAAAUAAAUGAGAGAGAGAUUCUUAAUAAAGUUUCUACUCACCUCAUGGACGAUGCUAUUUUAGAUUAACUAUUCUUCAUUUUCUGAAUUAGAAUUUUGUUUUCAUAAUCUUGGAAUUUUAUACGAUUUUGUGCAGGGGCUAUUGCAAUUUUUGUGGCUAAUUUAAAUGUUAGCUCAUUGUAAGACUUCAAUUGAAAUUCUUUUGUUCAGGCAUCAUGCAUUCAUGUACCAUUUUUAUUGAUGCAAAUGAAACAAACUGAUUUUAUUGUUUUGAUAUAUGAUAAAUUGGUGUUAGAAAUUUGUGAUAAAUGAUAAGCUAGUGUUGGAAAUAGAAAAUAUUAAUAAACGAUAUCUCUUUUAUUGCCAUUCUAUAAAGAACCAUCCAAUACUUGGAGAUUAUUAUCACAUAUUCUGUAAUUGAAGUGAGGCUGAACAAGAGCUUUAGAGAGAAUCAACAAAAGGAAUUAAAGAUUCAAGGUGUAAAUCGAAGAAAAAGUGCAAGAAAUUGAUUUCUCAAGCCUCUACAUCCAUUCUUUGAAUUCGGUGUUUUCUUUUUUUAAUUUCGUGUGUAAUUUAGACACAAUCGUGUUAGGCUAAACUUCUCUUGUACAUUGGAUGGAUGAUGGAACUUUUUGAGUUAUAUUUCUAAUUCAAGACUUAUUGUAUUUUAAUU
rnacentral:lncRNA from 1 species